UACGUAGGUGACUAGCGUUGUCCGGAUUUACUGGGCGUAAAGAGCGCGCAGGCGGUCGUUCAAGUCGAGUGUGAAAGCCCCCGGCUCAACUGGGGAGGGUCAUUCGAUACUGAUCGACUCGAAGGCAGGAGAGGGAAGCGGAAUUCCCGGUGUAGUGGUGAAAUGCGUAGAUAUCGUAAGGAAGACCAGUGGCGAAGGCGGGUCUCUGGACAGUUCCUGACGCUGAGGCACGAAGGCCAGGGGAGCAAACGGG
rnacentral:rRNA from 1 species